rnacentral:rRNA from 1 species
CUGGCGGCGUGCCUAAUACAUGCAAGUCGAGCGAAUGAUUAGAGAAGCUUGCUUCUCGUCUGAUUAGCGGCGGACGGGUGAGUAACACGUGGGUAACCUACCCUAUAGACUGGGAUAACUUCGGGAAACCGGAGCUAAUACCGGAUAAUACUUCGAAACACAUGUUUUGAAGUUGAAAGAUGGUUUCGGCUAUCACUAUAGGAUGGACCCGCGGCGCAUUAGCUAGUUGGUGAGUAACGGCUCACCAAGGCAACGAUGCGUAGCCGACCUGAGAGGGUGAUCGGCCACACUGGGACUGAGACACGGCCCAGACUCCUACGGGAGGCGGCAGUGGGGAAUAUUGGGCAAAUGGGGGGAACCCUGACCCAGCAACGCCGCGUGAGGGAAGAAGGUUUUCGGAUCGUAAACCUCUGUCCUUGGUGAAGAGUAAGAGACGGUAGCCAAGGAGGAAGCCCCGGCUAACUACGUGCCAGCCGCCGC